CAACAGGGAUUGCCUUAGUAACGGCGAGUGAAGCGGCAAAAGCUCAAAUUUGAAAUCUGCCUCUAGGGGCCGAGUUGUAAUUUGCAGAGGAAUGUUCGGUGGAAGCGCGGGUCCAAGUCUCCUGGAAAGGAGCGCCGUAGAGGGUGAGAGCCCCGUUUCGGUCUGCAGCUGAAGCCAUGUGAAUGUCCUUCGAAGAGUCGAGUUGUUUGGGAAUGCAGCUCUAAGUGGGUGGUAAAUUCCAUCUAAAGCUAAAUAUUGGCCAGAGACCGAUAGCGCACAAGUAGAGUGAUCGAAAGAUGAAAAGCACUUUGGAAAGAGAGUGAAACAGUACGUGAAAUUGUUGAAAGGGAAGCGCUUGCAAUCAGAGUUGUAGGCGGAGGUUCAGCUGCUCGUUUGGGCAGUGCAUUUCUCCGUUUUCAGGCCAGCAUCAGUUAGAAGGGUUGGAUAAAGGCAYGAGGAAAGUAGCUCUCUCCGGGGAGUGUUAUAGGUUUGUGCACAAUACAGCCUCUUCUGACUGAGGAUCGCGCAUCUGCUAGGAUGCUGGCGUAAUGGUUGCUAGCGGCCCGUCUUGAAACACGGACCAAGGAGUCUAACAUCUAUGCGAGUGUUUGGGUGGCAAACCCGGACGCGAAAUGAAAGUGAAUGGAGGUGAGAGCCUUGGCGCAUCAUCGACCGAUCUGGACGAAAUCUGAAGGAUUUGAGUAAGAGCAUAGCUGUUGGGACCCGAAAGAUGGUGAACUAUGCGUGAAUAGGAUGAAGUCAGAGGAAACUCUGAUGGAAGUCCGCAGCGGUUCUGACGUGCAAAUCGAUCGUCAAAUUUGCGUAUAGGGGCGAAAGACU
rnacentral:rRNA from 1 species